CAAGUCGAACGAGAGAGAAGGAGCUUGCUUCUUCGAUCGAGUGGCGAACGGGUGAGUAACGCGUGAGGAACCUGCCUCAAAGAGGGGGACAACAGUUGGAAACGACUGCUAAUACCGCAUAAGCCCACGGGUCGGCAUCGACCUGAGGGAAAAGGAGUGAUCCGCUUUGAGAUGGCCUCGCGUCCGAUUAGCUAGUUGGUGAGGUAAUGGCCCACCAAGGCGACGAUCGGUAGCCGGACUGAGAGGUUGAACGGCCACAUUGGGACUGAGACACGGCCCAGACUCCUACGGGAGGCAGCAGUGGGGAAUAUUGGGCAAUGGGCGCAAGCCUGACCCAGCAACGCCGCGUGAAGGAAGAAGGCUUUCGGGUUGUAAACUUCUUUUAAGAGGGAAGAGCAGAAGACGGUACCUCUAGAAUAAGCCACGG
rnacentral:rRNA from 1 species